rnacentral:sRNA from 1 species
UCGCAUAGCUUCAAAAGAAUGGGCCU